rnacentral:rRNA from 1 species
UACGAAGGGGGCGAGCGUUGUUCGGAUUUACUGGGCGUAAAGAGCGUGUAGGCGGCCAGGUAGGUCCGUUGUGAAAACUGGAGGCUUAACCUCCAGCUGUCGAUGGAAACCAUCUGGCUAGAGUCCGGAAGAGGAGAGUGGAAUUCCUGGUGUAGCGGUGAAAUGCGCAGAUAUCAGGAAGAACACCCGUGGCGAAGGCGGCUCUCUGGGACGGUACUGACGCUGAGACGCGAAAGCGUGGGGAGCGAACAGG